CCUACGUGAGGCAGCAGUGAGGAAUAAUGGUCAAUGGGCGAGAGCCUGAACCAGCCAAGUCGCGUGAAGGAUGACGGCCCUACGGGUUGUAAACUUCUUUUGUCAGAGAGAAAUUGUGUCCAAGCGUGGGCUUAGCGAGAGUACCUGAAGAAACAGCAUCGGCUAACUCCGUGCCAGCAGCCGCGGUAAUACGGAGGAUGGGAUCGUUAUCCGGAUUUAUUGGGUUUAAAGGCUGCGUAGGCGGGCUGUUAAGUCAGCGGUAAAAGCCCGGGGCUCAACCACGGCGAGACGUUGAAACUGGCUGUCUGGCGAUGUCUAGAGGUAUGCGGAAGGCGCAGUGGAGCGGUGAAAUGCUUAGAGAUUGCGCAGAACUCCGAUUGCGAAGGCAGCAUACCGGCGGCGAUCUGACGCUGAGGCACGAAAGCGUGGGUAUCGAACAGGAUUAGAUACCCCAGUAGUC
rnacentral:rRNA from 1 species